rnacentral:rRNA from 1 species
CUACGGGGUGCUCCAGUGGGGAAUAUUGCACAAUGGAGGAAACUCUGAUGCAGCAACGCCGCGUGGAGGAUGACACAUUUCGGUGCGUAAACUCCUUUUAUGUGAGAAGAUAAUGACGGUAUCACAUGAAUAAGCACCGGCUAACUCCGUGCCAGCAGCCGCGGUAAUACGGAGGGUGCAAGCGUUACUCGGAAUCACUGGGCGUAAAGCGCGCGCAGGCGGCUUUUCAAGUUGGAUGUGAAAUCCUAUGGCUUAACCAUAGAACUGCAUCCAAAACUGUUAAGCUAGAGUCUGGGAGGGAAGAUGGAAUUAGUUGUGUAGGGGUAAAAUCCGUAGAGAUAACUAGGAAUACCAAAAGCGAAGGCGAUCUUCUGGAACAGUACUGACGCUGAGGCGCGAAAGCGUGGGGAGCAAACAGGAUUAGAUACCCUCGUAGUC